GGCGAGUAGAGUGGGAAAAGCUCAACUUUGAAAUCUGGUACUUUCAGUAUCCGAAUUGUAGUCUCAAGAAGUGUUUUCUGUGCCGGUCCAUGUAUGAGUCUGUUGGAACACAGCGUCAUAGAGGGUGACAACCCCGUUCAUGACAUGGAUCCCGGUGCUUUGUGAUACACUCUCGAAGAGUCGAGUUGUUUGGGAAUGCAGCUCAAAUUGGGUGGUAAAUUCCAUCUAAAGCUAAAUAUUGGCGAGAGACCGAUAGCAAACAAGUACCGUGAGGGAAAGAUGAAAAGCACUUUGGAAAGAGAGUUAACAGUACGUGAAAUUGUUGAAAGGGAAACGAUUGAAGUCAGACGUGCGUGAUGCGGUUCAGCUUUAGUUCGCUAGAGUGUACUCCGUAUCUUUGCAGGCCAACAUCGGUUUUGUUAGUCGGAUAAAGGUUUGAGAAAUGUGGCACCUUCGGGUGUGUUAUAGUCUCAGACUGAAUACGAUUGAUGGGACCGAGGAACGCAGCGCGCCGCACACGUGACGAACUACGGAUUCCGACC
rnacentral:rRNA from 1 species